CAGUCGCGCGGUAAUACGUAGGUGGCAAGCGUUGUCCGGAAUUAUUGGGCGUAAAGGGCUCGCAGGCGGUUUCUUAAGUCUGAUGUGAAAGCCCCCGGCUCAACCGGGGAGGGUCAUUGGAAACUGGGAAACUUGAGUGCAGAAGAGGAGAGUGGAAUUCCACGUGUAGCGGUGAAAUGCGUAGAGAUGUGGAGGAACACCAGUGGCGAAGGCGACUCUCUGGUCUGUAACUGACGCUGAGGAGCGAAAGCGUGGGGAGCGAACAGGAUUAGAUACCCCGGUAGUCCCUGUCUCUUAUACC
rnacentral:rRNA from 1 species